CAACCAAAGCAAUGGAGACUCUGUCUUCCUCCAAAUGCUGUCAAGAGGAGGUAGUCAACACAACUCAGAAGACUGGAGGACAUAGCACUAUAUCUGGAUAUUACCAUUGAUCAUUAAUUUGGAGUUGCAUAACUCAUUAAUUUGUGCUAACUUAUGAGUGUUCAUAGAAUACCACACAGCUGGAUGCUCCUUGAAGAUCUGCUGAAGCAUGCCUCCUUUAAUCAAGAGCAUUUGGACCUUUCUUCAGAAGUUUUGCAGUGAUUUAAGGAAUUUGACCACAGCAAUUACCAAGCUCACACAUCACACAGUUUCAUUAAAGAUCCUUUCACUGCUCAUUUGCAUCAGCCAGACAUUAUAGAAGUCUCAGUCUCACUGAGUUUAUGUAACCUGCCAGAGAGCCCAGAAUUAUUGAGUGUUGGAGACAAGAUUAAAAGCCAGAUGUGUCAAACUCUAAAGUCCAUACUCUCUACAUUGAGCUUUUGAUGCCAACUUGUGAAUCCUUUUACACAGGAUACUGAAUAUUUUUUUCAGAUUUUAAUUCCUUUUGAUCAAAGAGUCAAACAAAUGAGAAUUAGCCUGGACUAUGAAGGAAAUAUGGCUAAUUUCAAAGGUGAAGCUGCUAUUUUCUGAGGGCAUUUUAGCAGAGGUUAUUUUUUAUACAUUUUAAAUCUUUAUAUAUCUUAUUUGUAAUGUAAUUGUAUAUCCACCAGUCAUCU